AUCGAUUAAAAAAAAUAAAUUUAUUAUAUCCUAUCAAUUUAUCAUAAUAAAUUGAUUUUCACAAAUUCAAUUAUAUUAUAGUCGUUAAAAAAUGUAUCAACCGAAAGUCUGCCGUUUCCUCUUUUGUCAAAGACAUGGCGAUCUAAGAAGAACCACUUGCUAUAUAUAAUAAAAAGAACCACUAGUAUAUAUAAUUUCUCACGCGCCACAGUAUAAUAAAGUACACGUCUUACUUUCCUCUUUCUAUCAAAGAAACGCGAGACAUUUCGACGGAAUAAUUCAGAAACACCACGAAUGUUGCGCUACGAUUCCUCGAAAUUCGAAGAGUGUCCUACCGGAAAUCGACACAUUCGUUCGACACAUCCGGCGGAAUACGUUCUUCUCAGAAAAGUGAGGCUCGUAGCAAAUGCCGUGUCCAAUUUCGCGGACGGCACGUAUGUACAUCUUGCGUGCACGUACAUGUGCCCCAAUACGCAGCUCGCAGAUGCGCACGUAUACGCUACAGAAGCGCGGCCCGGGUCUCCGGAUGCAUCGUUCCAGCAUGCAGCACUACGGCCGGCGUGCCGUUGCUGCACUAUGGAAGAUCUGGGUCAUCCGAAAACGGUCGCAGGGGCCGCACCGGGGGAAUUUCUCGUUUUCGUUACUCUGAAAAAUCAUGCGGGCGGGACAAGAGCGAGAGAUAGUGGACCGUCUUCGCGAAGGGUCUCUCGCAAAAUUCACCGAAUUUGCGAAAACGGCACAAAGGAAAUCCGAACGAACGAACGAGUCGUCUAAUACUCCGAAAAAUUCGUUGGCGGAUAAAGUGGGUCGCGCGCGAAGUAAAAAUUAUUACUCUGUGUCCGGAGAAUAAUAAAGUGCAGGGUAUAUAUAUAAACGGAUAUACCGGAUAUAUCUUCUACAUUAAAUUGUCACGAGUGUUAAAUGGUUUUACCAGUGUCUCACCGCUAACUCUUAUCGCGCCGACUUUGUAAGGUCGAUUCCAGGUAUAUUUAAAAGAAGGGAUAUAUAUUGAAAUUUUAUUCCCUCUAGCAUUCCUUCCAUCAAUUAUUUUAUGAAAAGAAUAUCUGAAAUAAAAACUAAAUAAAUAAAAUGUGUAAUUCUUCAUACAAAUUACUUCGAAAUAAACAACUAAUCAUAUCAAAUUUUUUGCAAGUAGAAUAUUGUGUUUAAUGUGUUUUUUCUAUUUCUAAUUCUUAUAUUUAAAAAAAAAGAUAAAAUUGCGUAUAAUACGAGAGCGAUAAUUGCUAAAAUUAGCAGCUAAUUAGCGCUACUGCUGCUAGAUACGUAUUGCCGUGAUAGCGAUGGAGAACCAUAGUAAAUGGCUGUCAGCCACAUAAACGACUUAGUACGACGUACUGACGACGGAUACUGAACAGUCCCAUCGUAUUCUCAUUCCGUGACAGCCGGUUGAAUAUGCAUCCCUCGAAUAAUAGUGUCGAGAAUAUUGUGAUCGCGCUACAAUGUAAGAGAUGCGAGGAUGGAUACCUUCCGAGUACAGUGCCCGAGGAACCUCUUCGAGCGUUCUCGCCUCUUAAAUCAAAUCAUAAAUAUUCAUGACAAUCAUCGCGAGACGUUGAUGGAAAACAUUCUUCGAAGAACGUUAAGAAGAUAAUUUUUAUUGUUAGAAAGGUCUGGCUUAGUUAAUUGUUUCCCAUAUGGAAAUAAGAUUCCUUCGUUCCGGCCGCCACCGAUCGCGAUGGGUGACGCUGAAAAUAGUGCACUAUUUCAUUAGGCAGUGAGUCACGCGUCGAUAUAUCUAAAUCGAAUCUCGCUAUUCACAUCUAUAUCUUAGCGCUUUCGCACAACGUAACGCGUAAAUUCUCGCGGAAAUUGGCUAAGCGCUCUCUUCUUUUCUCAUGUCUGGCAGCGACGCGGUGAACUGCGCCUCGUUUGCAUUGUAUGAACAUUUUUUUUUAUUUGCCCAGAAACCGAGAUACGGCGUCGAUUCAAUAACGUUUCCGGAUGAAAGAACGCGAUAACACGUAUGUAUGCACGUAUGAGGACGCUAACUCUCACCGCUGUAUCUGGCGUCAUCCCUAUUCGUCUUGGCGAGUAAAGCCAGGGGCGCGUGCUUUUAGAUGCAGCCCUAAUCAAACGAGCGGCUUACCUCGCCAACCCCGGGGUGACGGUUCAUUUAAUUAAAUGCCCCGUUCCCACGCAACUUUCUAUAGCGUCGGAAGGAAGUUUAUUUCGCUAAAGCUACAUCCCGCAGCUUCGUGCUAAUCAAUGUAAGGUUGACACGACGCAUAAUUAACGAUUCUGGAAACACUGGAUUGAAUAGAUACACGAAUAUUUUCCGCUUCAUUACAAUAUGCAGAUCUAAAGCGGUAGUUUUAGCUCACUUCGGGUCAUUUAUGCUUUAAUGAAAAUAUACGAUUUCUCCUGCAGCGAGAGGCAAUUAAAUUUUAUGAGAAUUUUCAGAAAUACGAAUUUUCUAUUCACGCGCGCAAAAUAAUGUAUAAAAUUACGACUGCCGUACAUUCCUCGGCGGAUUAUUUAAUCCUAUUUAAAUGAUACAUUUCCUCUUUAUUAACAGCUCUCUUAGAAUUUCUAGGUAACUCUGCUUUGAUGCAAGCAACCCAGAUACAACAUCGGCAAGUUCAACGACGACGAGCCAACUGAGCGCAACAUAAUUCUCAUUAAUCACGACGUAAACUGCAACGUACAGGUGCUACAAUGCAUCCCCCUCCGCCACCCGCGCUUAUUCCCGAUUUUCUUCUCCGUCGUUCCCGCGGCCGAGCCUUGCGCACUUCGCAAGGGGAGGCUGAGUUGAAGCUUGCGUAACAUGGCGCAUAGUUUCGCGAACGAAGCUCGCGUCGACCUGGUCUUACCUCGAUAGCUUGCCCUCAUUACACGGCGGUAAGGGCCAGGUGAUAAUAGCCGUACGCACGGCCGGAGGGUGCCGUUAUCAUCCGUGACCGGUAUCGAUUCUAAUCCCACCCCGAUCCCCCCUUCUGCAACUGGCCGUACCGUACCGACGCGACGCGACGCGACGAUGCGAACGUCACCGGGUUAACGGAGUGCAGCUGUACCUGACGACGACGAAAGCGGGGAGCGAUGGGCAGCUCGGGCAGAAGAGGGGACAUGGUGAGGGAACGGGUGAGCUUUGCGUUUGAACUUGCGUUUGAACCGGCCACGACGAGUCUCCAUCCCCCUUUUCGGAGAAGAACGGUCGAGCGUUCGGCUACCCACCACCGUCACCAGCUCGCUCCCACCAUCGACUCGUGCCGCGGGAAUGUAGGUUACUGGGUUAUCAUCGCCGGCGGUGGCUCGUCCUUCUCCGUUGCCGGAAGCUUUUCCAUCCAAUUGCUCCUGCGAAAGGACAACGACGAAAACCAAGGAGGACCCGGAAUCACCCGAGAGUAUAAUUCUUUCGGCGGGCGUAGACGUUUCGGAGAAGAUUGCCGAUACGAGGAUAUCAGGCCUUCCGCGGGAUUGGCUACAUCGAUUUUUCAGAACGUCCAGAAGAGCCAUUUAUCAUGCGUCACCGCUGUUUGUCACUUGGGAUGAAUUUGUCACGAUUGUGGAUGAUACAACCACUGCUUUUAACAUGGAACAGCUGGGGCAACAAAGUCCGGAAUAAAUUAAUAAGAUAAUUAAUUAAGCAAGAAACACUAAAGAAGUGCUAAAUUUCUGCUUAUAUUUCAUUUAAUUGUGUUAAAGUGGCCAAAUUAACAAAUAUUAAUAAUAAAAUUAUUUUCGCGAAAUCAACUUUUCGAAUAAAUUACUUUAUGUAAAAUAGAAUAUUUUUCACUCCCUCUUUUAUUGCUUUUAUUUUCUCUCUAUAAUUUAUUAUACAUUACAUUUCUAUAAUAUGACAAUAAUAAUAUUAUCAUCAAGCAUUUAGGAUAUGAUUAUUCAUAUAUUCAUAACUUACGUAAUGUUUUAUGGAUCAUGUGUGUACACGUAUCAAAACAGACUUAACAAUAUUAUAUGUAAAAUAUACGUCAUUAUAUCUAACAGCAUUGAGUACUCAUUAAAUAUCGACAUACUACAUGUGAUAGCACUCACUUUUUCUACACCUGCGAAAUCCAAACACCUGCACAAAUGAACACCCAUGAAUCUUUAUAAUCUGAUUUACAAGCAAUUUCCGUUGAAUUUGCUUAUUAAAGACAUAUCGGGACAUGCACUCAAUCUCGGAUUAAUGCGUCAGAUGACACGUAUGAUGUCUGUAAUUCAAAUCAUAAACACAUGCUAAUUAGUCUGUUCGACACGAGUCGACACUAGGCUGUUCUUGUAAUUACACAUAUCCUUGGACAGCGCGUAUUAUAUCUUAUGAGUUAUGCUCCUUUUCACUCCAUCGAUCUUCCGGAAUACAGAGCACUCCUCUGAUAAAUUAAGAGAGAUAGAAUGCAAUAUAUCAAAACAGGAUUGAUUACAGAAAAAAAGUCUUAUUCCAUUUAUAUUCUAUGAAAAGAAUCUAUUUUUAUAUUAUUUUUCCGUCAGUUACUAAAAUAUUCCUAUUAAAAAGUUCUUAUGUAACAUAGAAAACUUCGUAGAAAUACGUUAAUAUAUUAAAAUUGAAGAAAUAUAAAUAAUAUAAAUAAUUUCUUUUAUUAUACAAGAUAACGCAAAAUAAAUUUUAAAUGAGAAAUAAAGAGCCUUUGCAUGUUACAUCGUAUCGCGCAAAAUGCAUCAUAAUAGUAUGCACCGGGGAGCCAUCUGAUUUGCCCCGAAGGCGACAAUCUGACCUAUCGUACUUUACUAUAAAUAAAGAUUGAUGUUCUUAUUUUAGCGUGCGAAUUAGCGUGGGUCUCGGACAGACUCGUCACGAGCUGCCCUCGCUAUUUUCGUAUCGCGAGAUGAGUAGCCGAAGUGUCUAGCAAAAUUAAUCAUUAACAAUCUUCAUUCGUUAGAAUCAUUCUCUGUUAGAAAAAGCUAUAUGUAAAAAGAAUAUUUGAUCAAUUCUAAUAAAAAUAAUUCUAAUAAAAUUUGGACAAAACGUACUUUUGGUCAAGACAAUUGCAAUAAUCAAUAUGAUCAAUAGCUUUAAUAUUAUAUAAUAACAUUAAAGUAGAAUGUACGUGUACACCAAUGAGUAGAAAGAUGUCUAAUUUAUUUUGUCCAAAAACAAAGAAUGCGUAUUACUACACACGAUUUAAGCCUGAAUAUUUGAUAUUCAUUGUCGAAACGCAUUAAACGACUCGUCGUUAGACUAAGUCGUGGCAAUGCAAAAGUUUUAUAUCCUGAGAUGGCAUACUCCCAAAUUUUCGUCGUUUUGCGCCAACGGCAGAUUCGUCCGAGUUUUUCUCAUGCUAUUUAUACGGGAAAAUAAGCCCCGGAAAUCUAUCGGCCGCAAAACGAGAUCGUUCGUUGCGAAAAAAGGCCGACCGGAGGCACGAAUUAUCGCAUAACGUUAUCGCGGUAUACCGCGGUUUUAAUUGCCCGACGAAUGCCAAAGCCGAUGUUCAUUAUAAUGCAAAAAGAGCAAGCGAUUUCAGCAUCGACAUCGAUAAUUUAAACCAUCAAUUUAUACGAAAAAAAACGUGGAACAAUAUUAACAAGCAAUAAAAUAAUAAAAAUACUUUUUUAUUUAACUUCGUUCAUAAAAGAAAGUUAAUUUAACUGUACCACGAUCUUUUUAGCCUUUAAACUAACUUUUGACCCUUAUAUAUAAAACUGUUAUAAAUUCUAUGCAUAUGAACCUUUCUUUCUAAUCUUCACAACACUUAUCCUUAAAAUAAAAAAACUUCCAAUGUACUGUAAUUCUAUAGCAGCAGAUGCAACUUCGCGCAACCCUUAUGCAAUAUCUUACAAAUUGCAUUUAAUCAUCCACAAGAUUGUGGUCGGAUAUGUAAGGAGCAUAAAUUGUCGGUACAAGAAAUUACAGUUCGCUUACAUUGAGGAUCUAUUUGCAAUUGUUUUCUCAGGGCUUGGCGUUGUUAAGUCAAGCUUGUCAUUUAUAUAAGCGAACUAGUGAUGUCGCGGCAUCGUGAACAACCCGGAAAUCUUAUGAAAAUAGAAUUAAAUGCACAUAAUAAAGAUAUAAAUAAUCCCAGACAUUUCAUAUCUUGUGCUUCAUUCUAUUAAUAUCUACACAUGUUAGGAUAAGCAUUAUGCCGUUAUAAUAAAAGUGGAAAAAAAUAACUUUUUUUCUCCUAUCGCAAUUUUAGGAAUUAUUAUUAAAAGAUCAUGUAUAAAAAAAAGAUUUUUUGUCUCACGAAGAGAUUUAAUUUUUUGCGAACUUAAUGCACUAAUGCUAUCAUUAGCAUUUUUACGCUAAAAUAAACAUAUUUAUGUAUAAUACAAAUUUUAACACUUUAUAAUAAAUUUCUAACAGUAUAUAUAUAAUUAACACAAUCGUCACAUAAUUUUUAUGAGAACGAUGCCUGUGCACAAUGUUCUAAAGAAAAAGACAAUGAUAUUUCUGUUUAAUUAAAAUAAUUUACUGUUCUUUAUUAAUUAUAAUUAAUCUAUACGUAAAAUUAACAAAUAUUUAAUUUAAGAUAAAGUUGACAACGUAUUUAAUACGUAAACAUUAUCAAAACAUUUAUUCUACGCUUAAUGAAUAAUUAAAGCAAUUAUUUCGUGACACGUACUUUAUUAUCGAUGAAAAUCACCGUCACGUAAACCUAUAGCCUAUCACGUUCCAUAAUCAAACUAUCGGUUUUCUAAUGAGCAACCAUUGCACGAUUAUUGUGGCGCACGUUCUACCAUCAUAAACGAGGAUAGAGGUAUAGAUUAAUAACCGCAAUCGAAACAUGCGCGUUAUAUCUCUGUUGCGUUAUUCCGUUUAUUAUAUGCCUAUAUAAACAAUCGUAUACUAACUUCGAUCUUCGAAUAAAUAUUUGACGGAAAAAAUAAAUAUGUAAAUGUUAAUAAGAAAUAAUCAUAUUUACUUGUUGAAAAAUAAUCAUUUUGAGGUAAUAUUUGAGAUAAUCUACGUAAACUAUAGAGUAAAAUGCCUAAUUUAAAUAUGCAUAUACGUUUAAUAAAAAGUUGAAGAUAUGCGUAAAUCUUCAACAAAUUCGGAAUAAAUUUAUAUCUUUAACAAAAAUGUUAACAGGAGAGAUAUUUCGUAUAACUUUCCAACUUAAAAAAAAUUAAAUUUCGUGCCAAGUACGACCCGAAUUAAAUUUCUGUCGAUGAAAAGUCGACCUGAAAAUAACCGAAGAAUAAAGUUGUAUCAUUUAUUUAUAUUCUUGAUAUUUAUUAUAAGUCAUGAAAAAUCCUCUAUAUAUUUAGUAUAAAAUAUCUUUUAAAUAGAUUUUUAGAAAAGUUCUCACUAAGAAGAAAUGGAUUUAAAAUUUAGAGUAAAAAGCGCUCUAUCGCUAUAAACUAUUUCUUGAAUAGAAUAUAUUUUCCAAUCAAGAUAAAAAUAAAAAGUACAAUAUGUCCUAAUAUAAAAAUUUUAACAUAUUUUUAUUUGUUAUUUUUAUAUAUAGUAAUUAGCGAUGAUUAUUCCAAAAAUCUGAAACUCUUUUUACACAUAAAAUAGGAAUUUAAAAAGUUAUAAUAUACUUAUAAAUCCAAACCAAUUCAAUGUUUCUUCCUGAAAAAUCUUAAAAAACGGACGAGAAGUCGGGUCGCGUUCCUUUACUGAUACCACAUUCUAGCACACGUAUUCCAAAUGAUUGAUGAGCGUACCGAAUAUUCAAACAAAUCUCUUAAGAGACAAGUGAUCGCUACGUUCAAAAAGAUGGCUUCUACCUGCGAAAUAGACACGUAAAGCAUAAAUUAAUCUUUAACGGGUAGGACGGAUUAUCGAUAAUAGGCCUUGGCAUACUGAAAUUCGUGUCAACCGAAGUCAUGAAGCAAAGAGAAGCAUAGCUCCAGGAGAGCUGCUUUUACUUCGAAUGGACGUACACGCGAUUAUCCUCUCCACCUCCGGCGUCGUGACAAAUCUGUUACAUUCUUGGAAACGGAUACUGGCCAGCUGCCAGCCUCUGCUAACGACUUUUCUUCCAAAUAUGAUCCAUACCGCGAUCCGCCUACAUUCAGGAGAGGAUCAAUGAAUUUGCACAAAUAAAUGUGUCCUCUUAGUUCUUCAAGACUUUCGGGAAAUCGGCGUUUGCAGAUCUAUUUUAUAAAAAGGACUCUGCAGUUUCCAAUAGAGAAAGCCUAACGAUCUUACUUGAAAUCCACGCUUUGAAAACAGGAUUUAUAAAUCACUUCGUUUUCGGUUGCCUAAAAUUUCCAUUACGCAAAUUUAUCUUGGUUAAGGGGAUAUGAGCCUUGCGUAAACAAGCGUUAUAAUAAAACUAGUCCAAACGUAAUGACCCGUUAAUGCAGAACACAGGAAAGCGUUCUCUCCCACUCACGCUAGCCGCGAUAUACCGUGAAUCCAUAAAUUAUCGGCGCUUGCUGGUAAACACGCGAAAGUGUCAGCUUCGGUUUCCGCCAAUUAGAAAUGACCGAAUUAUGGUACCAAUCUGAUUCGGCGCCUCCGUCAGCCACGAACAGGAACAGGAGGAGGAGGAAGAGGAAGAGGAAGAAGACGCGCGCCCGUAGAAACUGGAACACCCGACAUAAAGUGCUCGGUAAAGGGGCUAAGUUUUGACACCCGAAGAGUUGCUCUUUGAUCGGUGACCCCGCGCGCGCGCGUGACAAACAGAGAGAGAGAAAGAGAGAGAGAGAGAGAGAGAGAGAGAGAGAGAGAGAGAGAGAACGAGAGUGGUUGCCACCUUGAGCCUCCGGUGUACGUGAUCUUCACGCUCAUCUGGUACAUUUCAACAAAUCAUCGUUGACGGCACCGAUACGUCUCACUGGUCCCGACACCAAACGAUAUUAAACCGCUAAGUUAGGUCGUGGUGCCGUCCUCUAUUUCUUUCACGGCACGUGCGAAGUUAAUGCGAAUUACUAAUAUAAGCUUAUAAGCAAUAUAUUAUCCAAACCAAUUGUUAUUACGAUGGGUACAAUCUAUUUUUAUAAAUAAUCUCUCAAGAAUCAUAUUUCUCUAAUAUCAACGUUAAUAAAAUAUAAAAAUGUGUAAACGAGUAUAAAAAUAGAAAAAGUAUUUAAUAAAAUUUUCUCUUUUCAUAUAUCUCGAAGUUAUGAGGUCUUCUUAGAAACAAACGUCAAUGAAAUAUAUAAGAGUAAACAGUAAAAUCAUAAAUAUAAAAAUUGACACAACUGACGCAAGUAAAGAAUGAUAAAACAUUUUCUUGUUCUGAGAGAUAAUUAUCAAUACUAUAUAUCUAUUAUACCUUUCAUAAUAUUUCGCAACUUGUUUCGUAAUAUUUUACAGUUUAAUAGCAAAAAAUAAUUUUUUUAUACCAUGAUAAAAAAGGUAUAUAUAAAAAAUUGUAUAUCAUAGACAUAUUUGUCGUAUUUAUAAAAAAAAACUGAUUUCGCUAUGUAGGUCGACUGCAGGGUUACUUGUGGUCUCUCUCUCACUCUCCCUCUCUUUCUCUCUCUCUCUCUCUCUCUCUCUCUCUCUCUCUCUCUCUCUCUCUCUCUCUCUUCUUUCUUUCUCUCUCACUUGGAAGACGGCUAAAGGUUAAAUUCCAAUUAUAGCAUGCGGAUAAAUAGCAGCUAUCAUCCCGUAUGAAACGAUCUCUCAGUCGCCAAUGAGACGAGUAAAUACUCCGUAAGAAGAUACGACUUUCAAAAAAAAUACAAGCUGAAUAUAGGUAAAUCUUUUCAUAAAUUAUCGAUAAAUAAAUUAUAACUAUCCUACUUCCUGGAUUUCAAUUUCCUCGAUAAUGUGUUCCUUUCCUUUGAGUUUAGUUUUUAAUAUUUUAAUAAAUCAUUAUUUUUAUUUUUAUCAACACUUAAAGCAUUAAAUUUAAAAAAUAUUAAAUAUUAAAAAGAAGUUUUAAUAAUCCCUUACUCUUUAUAAAGAUUGUACACUUAAUUUGGAGAAUUACUAUAAAAAUUUUUCAAAACUGUUAAAAUUAAUAUUAAUAUUACCACGCUAAAAAUUAAAUCAAAUCUUUUAUUAACUUAUACUUAAAAUUCUGGUCUGCAAUCUUAUUUAAAUGAGAAGAAUUACGGCAAAGAUCUACACGAGUGCAAAAAUCGCAGUAAUACUUUCUUGGGUAUGGAUAACCGCACCGAAAGCGCCGCUUUUCGAAUUAACAGUUAAGAAGUGUCUAAAGAUGCAAAUGUAAUUCAAUUCUGCGCUAGGAUUUGUAUAAAUCUUUUAAUGAAAUUCAAGCGCGAGAUAUCUCAAGAAGAAUGGCGUUGGGAAAAAGAAGAUAAAGACAAUUAUUAUAAUUGUAAAGGUACUGUUAAUCACGAGUCAAUUGUAAUCUCUGUGCAAUAAUUUCCUUGAUUAAACAUACGAGAAUAGAUAUAACAAUUUCUAUUCUCAACUAUGAUUCGUCAUUUGAAACACGCAGACAUAUUUUAUAUCUUCUCAAGACAAGUUCUAUAUAUAAUGAUUGUUAUAUACGCACAUUUGGCAAAUUGUUUAAAGGUCAAAUGCCGAUCGUGACAGUUUGCUAAUUACAAUUUGCGGCUUGUCUGCCGCAGACUAUAUUUAACGACGUUGUCAAUUAUUGCUGUUGAUGUUCCUAAGUGUGUCUAUGCAAACCCGAUGAAAUUGAAGAUGCACGCACAUUGUAGUAAUGAUAUUAAUAAUUUCACAAAAGCAAUAACAUUUAUAAUAUGAAAUGUUAGUGUAUUUGGCAUUCCUAUCAAUUUCUCAGAAAACAGUUCAUACUCAAACAGCGACUUUUUCAAUAUUUUUUUUAUUCUUAAUUUAAGAAUAAUAAGAUAUAAAAUAUAUCUGUAAUGCUUAAUAUCAAGUUGAAUUUUGUAAAAAGCAAAGUUUAUUAAUUUAAAUCAUAAUUCAUCGAAAUGUUAUCAAUCGUUGCAUAAUUCUACGUUCAUUGAGACUGCUCAUUAAGACUCCAAUUUAACGCUUCUGUAGCUGUAAGGACUGCUGGUGUAAAUAAUAUAGAAAGGAAAAGAAAAUAGAAUUCCAUCUCAAGGAAUUAUACGAACCCAUUGCGCGAACGCAGUCGAUUCAAGCGCCACUGAAUAAUUCAUUUUAAUCGUGGUCCCCAAAUUUAUCUCGCGUUUCUUGUAGCGGAAAAUGCGGUGGAACACGGAAUGUACAUUAAGAUCGCAUUAUAAUCACUUCUCACAUUAUUACACGCUAUUUAAGCGGAGCUGCUCAUGAUUAUACGUGCGAAUUAAAAAAGCUGCGAAUUGCAUACGUCUAAUAAGAACGCAAAUAAUCUUUUUAUAAUAAAUUUUUCUCUUACAAUUAGAUGUCAAAUAUCUUUUUUCGCAAUAAAGGUAACAAAAUCUCACAGCAUAAUUAUAUUCGUUUAAUUGGGAUUAAAGUACAAUAUCUAAACUCAAUUUUAAUUUAAUCAAGACGAUUUACAUCAAGACUCGUAAUAUUGUUACAUGUACAUGUCAUGUCUUUCGAUAAUAAUAGCAAAAAAUCACGGAUAUAAUAAAAAUAACAAGUAUAACAAAA